GCACCCUUAGCUCAGCUGGAUAGAGCGUCUGGCUACGGACCAGAAGGCCGGGAGUUCGAAUCUCUCAGGGUGCGCCA
rnacentral:tRNA from 1 species